GACCUCAAAUCAGGUAGGAAUACCCGCUGAACUUAAGCAUAUCAAUAAGCGGAGGAAAAGAAAAUAACAAUGAUUCCCCUAGUAACGGCGAGCGAAGAGGGAAUAGCUCAAAUUUUAAAUCUGUUGGGUCUUACCUAACCGAGUUGUAAUUUGAAGAAGCGUUUUCUGCGUGUUUGAUUUAGCCCAAAUCCUUUGGGAUAGGGUAUCAUGGAGGGUGAGAAUCCCGUCCGGCCUAAUCAAAUGUGCAUUACGAUACGUUUUCUAAGAGUCGAGUUGUUUGGGAUUGCAGCUCAAAAUGGGAGGUAAAUUUCUCCUAAGGCUAAAUAUAGGCGAGAGACCGAUAGCGAACAAGUACCGUGAGGGAAAGAUGAAAAGAACUUUGAAAAGAGAGUUAAACAGUACGUGAAAUUGUUGAAAGGGAAACGAUUAAAGUCAGUCGUACUAACGGGGAAUCAACCUAUUGAGGGUGGAUUUGUGGGAUUCAGAGUGUCUUUGCUUUUCACAACCUGCUUUUUUUGGGUGCAAUUUGUCGUAUUGUANGUCAGCAUCGGUUUCGACCGUUAUAAAAUGACUGGAGGAAUGUAGCUUCSAUCUCGUAUUGAAGUGUUAUANCCUUUGGUAGAUGUAACGGAUGGGAUCGAAGAUUGCAACGAAUGCCCUCAUGGGCUAUCC
rnacentral:rRNA from 1 species